GGGGCCAUGGCGCAGUUGGGAGCGCGUCUGCAUGGCAUGCAGAAGGUCGGGGGUUCGAGCCCCCCUGGCUCCA
rnacentral:tRNA from 1 species